rnacentral:lncRNA from 1 species
GCUUGGCAAGCUGCUGCAUAGAUGCCUCCAGGCAGCCAGAAAGCCUGCCUUUCUAAUCAGUGGAGAAACUAGCUUUGUCUGCCAGACUAAAGCAGGAGCAAAUCCUCUGUGGGGACCCCUUCCCAGGCUGGUUUUCUCACCUGUAAUACUGGGCCUUCCCCACUAGGUGUCAUCCUCCCAUCAGCAUCGGAGAGCAACUUCCGGCGCUAUUCUCCUAGACAGCAUAUGUAGCAGUUCAAGG